AGUUGCCUAGUAUUCCAUAGUAGGAAUAUGGAAUAAUUUUGUAAACUGUUCUUCUAGUGAUGGACAUUUAGAUUGUUUCUAUUCUGUUGCUAUUAUAAACAAAACCUCAAUAAACAACACUAUACACACAUUUUUUUCCCAUUAUGUGCAAGUGUAUCUAUUUAUCCAGAUUGAGUUUAAUUACUUUAUAUUUCCUCUUUCUUUCUGCAGUGUCAGUGCUAAGAUCAGUGUAACUUUGGAAGCAAGGAAAAAAAAAUAGAGCAUCUGAACAAAAUAUGAAAUAUACAAUUAAUCUUGAUAAAUCAAGCUUCGAAGGAAAAUAGGAGAAUGAUCACAAGUGUGUUUCAUGGGAAUACCUGUACACAAAGCCACAUUCAAAGUUCCUGAACUGGAAGAACUUGGACUUUAGAGUUGCAAAAAGUAAGCUAUGAAGGCUUUGGACAUCAUAAACCACACAUAUGGAAGAAUGCAUGCUUCCUCAUUCAAGAUGGCAUACCACCAUGGGCUGUGAACUUCCUCCCAUGAGCCAGCAAAACUAAAGGAAAGAGGGAUUUGGGGACUCUCAGAGCUCAGCAACUAACAUUAAACUUUGCAGAAACUCUUGGAAAGCCUGACAAUGGUGGCCUCCUGGUGUGGGAGAGAGAGGAGUGAGUAACAUCUUUCUGUGACCCUUCAGUCGGCUAUGUGUAUGAGCUCUUUCCAUAUGUUUUAAGGCUCUCUGAAGUUUAUCCUUUAUUUUUCCCUUAAGGUGUUGUUCUGUACUGUAACUUUAUUUGUAAGUGCAGUUUAAGUGUAGUAUAGCCAUGAGCUCGAAAAAGUUUUCUGCUUCAUUGUGAACCACAUGACUCUCCAACGAUUUCCCAAGAAUGACAACCUCACCCUCCUCCACUCCUCACCACCCAAUUUCAAAUCUGCUCUUCUUCCUUCAUGAGAUAUUAUAACAUUGCAUUUUAUGUACAAACUAUAUUUAUUUACUUUCAAAUUGUAGCCCUUCACCUAUGUAAACUUGCUAUAGUUUUCUAUCUGUGAAAUGGUUUAAGUAACUUAAGUUGGGAUGGAAUGCUCA
rnacentral:lncRNA from 10 species